rnacentral:rRNA from 1 species
CUUCGGCCCGAGUUGUAAUUUGCAGAGGAUGCUUCUGGCGCGGUGCCUUCCGAGUUCCCUGGAACGGGACGCCACAGAGGGUGAGAGCCCCGUAUGGUCGGACACCAAGCCUGUGUGAAGCUCCUUCGACGAGUCGAGUAGUUUGGGAAUGCUGCUCUAAAUGGGAGGUAAAUCUCUUCUAAAGCUAAAUACCGGCCAGAGACCGAUAGCGCACAAGUAGAGUGAUCGAAAGAUGAAAAGCACCUUGAAAAGGGGGUUAAAUAGUACGUGAAAUUGUUGAAAGGGAAGCACUUAUGACCAGACUUGGGCCGGGCGGCUCAUCAGGGGUUCUCCCCUGUGCACUCCGCCCGGCACAGGCCAGCAUCGGUUCUCGUGGGGGGAUAAGACCGUCAGGAACGUAGCACCCUCCGGGGUGUGUUAUAGCCUGGCGGACGAUACCCCCGUGGGGACCGAGGUCCGCGCUCCGCAAGGAUGCUGGCGUAAUGGUCAUCAGUGACCCGUCUUGAAACACGGACCAAGGAGUCGUCCAUUAGAGCGAGCGUUUGGGUGUAAAACCCGCACGCGUAAUGAAAGUGAACGCAGGUGAGAGCUUCGGCGCAUCAUCGACCGAUCCUGAUGUUCUCGGAAGGAUUUGAGUAAGAGUUUUAACGGACGGACCCGAAAGACAGUGAACUAUGCUUGUAUAGGGUGAAGCCAGAGGAAACUCUGGUGGAGGCUCGCAGCGGUUCUGACGUGCAAAUCGAUCGUCAAAUAUGAGCAUGGGGGCGAAAGACUAAUCGAACUGUCUAGUAGCUGGUUACCGCCGAAGUUUCCCUCAGGAUAGCAGUGUUGAUCUUCAGUUUUAUGAGGUAAAGCGAAUGAUUAGGGACUCGGGGGCUAUAUAUUGCCUUCAUCCAUUCUCAAACUUUAAAUAUGUAAGAAGCCCUUGUUACUUAAUUGAACGUGGGCAUUCGAAUGUACCAACACUAGUGGGCCAUUUUUGGUAAGCAGAACUGGCGAUGCGGGAUGAACCGAACGCGGGGUUAAGGCGCCAGAGUGUACGCUCAUCAGACACCACAAAAGGCGUUAGUACAUCUUGACAGCAGGACGGUGGCCAUGGAAGUCGGAAUCCGCUAAGGACUGUGUAACAACUCACCUGCCGAAUGUACU